rnacentral:rRNA from 1 species
GGGCUUGGCAUUCUCUUUACGGGGCUCACAGCUCUUGCUUGAAUUAUUUCACCCGUUGUCUUUUGCGUCACUUCUUGUUUCCUUGGUGGGUUCGCCCACCAUAGGACAAACCAUAAACCUUUUGUAAUUGCAAUCAGCGUCAGUAAAAAAAAAUUAAUAAUUACAACUUUUAACAACGGAUCUCUUGGUUCUGGCAUCGAUGAAGAACGCAGCGAAAUGCGAUAAGUAGUGUGAAUUGCAGAAUUCAGUGAAUCAUCGAAUCUUUGAACGCACAUUGCGCCCUUUGGUAUUCCAAAGGGCAUGCCUGUUCGAGCGUCAUUUGUACCCUCAAGCUUUGCUUGGUGUUGGGCGUCUUGUCUCCAGUUCGCUGGAGACUCGCCUUAAAGUAAUUGGCAGCCGGCCUACUGGUUUCGGAGCGCAGCACAAGUCGCGCUCUCUUCCAGCCAAGGUCAGCAUCCACAAAGCCUUUUUUCAACUUUUGACCUCGGAUCAGGUAGGGAUAC